rnacentral:rRNA from 1 species
GACGAACGCUGGCGGCGUGCUUAACACAUGCAAGUCGAACGGAAAGGCCUGCUUUCCCUUGUGGAUUGCGGGUACUCGAGUGGCGAACGGGUGAGUAACACGUGAGUGAUCUGCCCCCAACUUGGGUAUAAGCCUGGGAAACUGGGUCUAAUUCCCGAUAGGACUGCAGGGUGGUGCCUGUGGUGGAAAACGAUUUUCUAGUGGUUGGGGAUGAGCUCGCGGCCUAUCAGCUUGUUGGUGGGGUAAUGGCCUACCAAGGCGGCGACGGGGAGCCGGCCUGGGAGGGGGGACGGCCACAUUGGGACUGGGAUACGGCCCAGACGCCUACGGGAGGCAGCAGUGGGGGAUAUUGGGGAAUGGGCGGAAGCCUGAUGCAGCGACGCCGCGUGGGGGAUGACGGGCUUCGGGUGGUAAACUCCUGGCGACCGCGAGGAGGCGGCCUGGUUGGAAGGGUGGUGACGGUAGUGGUAGAAGAAGCACCGGCUAACUACGUG